ACUGUUGGAAACAUUUUCUGUCUCUAAUAAAAUAUUAGGAAAAAAAGAGGAUCGAAAUUCAAAUACAAAAUUUCUGUAAUAGUCAGUAUUGUCCUGUAUAAAACAGAGCUAUUCCUUCAGACAAAAAGAAGAGCAUCCUUUUGAUGUCCAAACAAUAAACAACUCGUCACAUAGCACGCUAAGGAUUGACAAUGGAAUGUAAAUAGAUUCACUUACUUAGCUUCCAUUUCUUUAUCAUC